rnacentral:misc_RNA from 1 species
GAUGAAGAACGUAGCGAAAUGCGAUAAGUAAUGCGAAUUGCAGAACUUCCGUGAGUCAUCGAAUCUUUGAACGCACAUUGCGCCCACUGGUAUUCCGGUGGGCAUGCCUGUUCGAGCGUCAUUAUCCUCCCUCAAACCCCGGGUUUGGUGUUGGACCCAAGUUGUGUGAACAACUGGUCUCAAAGACAAUGACGGCGUCCGUGGGACCCUCGGUGCAACGAGCUUUUAGGAGCACGCAUCGAGUUGCAAGGACCUUCCGGGCCGGUCUGCUUUACCAUUUUACAAGGUUGACCUCGGAUCAGGUAGGAAUACCCGCUGAACUUAAGCAUAUCAAUAAGCGGAGGA